rnacentral:sRNA from 1 species
UGUAAUGUGAGAAUGAACCUUAAUUCCGA